rnacentral:rRNA from 1 species
CCCUUAGAUGUUCUGGGCUGCACGCGCGCUACACUGAAGCUAUCAACACGUUUUCCCUCCCUGAGAAGGGCGGGUAACCUUUUGAAUCAGCUUCGUGGUAGGGAUCGGGGCUUGCAAUUGUUCCCCGUGAACCAGGAAUUCCUAGUAGACGCGAGUCAUAAGCUCGCAUCGAUUAAGUCCCUGCCCCUUGUACACACCGCCCGUCGCUACUACCGAUUGAACGUUUUAGUGAGGCAUUUGGACCGACGCAUCUCAGUUUAACCGCUGGUUUGUGUUGGAAAGACUUCCAAACUUGAGCGUUUAGAGGAAGUAAAAGUCGUAACA